ensembl:lncRNA
GAAGACUGGGCAGCCUCUCUCCCAGCUCCUGGGAGUUGCAGGUCUCUGUGAGAGUGCCUUCUAGCCUUCCAUCUCUUCCUGCUGAGGAUUAUGUACCAUGAACACAUUUAGGUCAAGGACUGUGUCAUACUCAUCUGAGUCUCCAAAGUCCAAUGUCCAAAGCAGGACCAACAGGAGCUGGUGAGAAGGAGGGUGUGAAGAAGGGGGCAGUCAGAUGCGGGCCAAGGAGACCACUGGGACUGGGCUUCCCAUCCCAGGAACUCCCCUCUCUCUGGGCCAGGCUGGGACCCUGGUGACAGAGGUAAUGUGUUUCCUCCACCUCAAGGCUCCACCUUCUAUGCUAAAGGAAGCACUUCCUCUCUCCGAGGCCACAAGGUGCAAGAGCUUCCCAGAGCACCCCAUCACCUGGAAAUGCAACCCAAGAACUGGACGGCUUUGCAACAUGAGGUCUUGUCCCUGUCCUCAGUCAUGUUGGUAGCCUUGGUGGCCUUGGUUCCCCAGGAAUCUCCCCUUCAUGGUCUCCAGAGAAUAAACAUCUUUCAUGAGGCUCAAUGGUAAGCCCUUGCCUGCUGGCUUUUAACUUACCCCAUCAUCCCCUCCACCUGCACCCCUUAAGUCCUGGACUUUAUUGGGGUUCUGGAGGCUCACUCAUUUUCUUCUCACUGGAGUCCCCUUCUUUGUACUCUGGUUUCUGCUGCCUUCUAAAUACCAUCAUUCCAAACAAAUCCCUCUUCUAAAGUGUGUUGCAAUCUCUCGACUCUUGAUGCUCCCUUUCUAGUCCCUUUGUCCUUGUGGGAUUAUACUGUUUAUAUUUUUUCUCUAUAAUGACAGCUCGUGCUCAGGAGGGAGGAGAAUCCAAUGCUGCUACCUUUUUUCCUACAGAGUGGUUUAUUGCUUUUUGUGUGUAUAAGCAUCUUUUACACAGACUAUGCCCAGGGGACUUCUUUCUAACAACAACACAAAAAUUAAUCAAAGUAUUCCCCUGAACUAAGAGGUCACCUGCUCCCAACUCCUCCAGGAAUGAAGCAUAGCAUAACAGCCACUUUAUUAAAAUUUGCGACACAUUUUUUUUCUUUCCUUUGCAGUAUCCCUUUCAUUUCAUAGAUGAGGAAACUCCAGCUUGGAGAGGGGGAUGAACUGCCCCCAGUCACAGAGCUGAGCUGGAACUGGAGUUCUACUCUUCUCAUUUCAGAGUGCCUGUGGCACCCCACUCCAGCGUUCUGGCCUGGAGAAUCCCAGGGGNNNNNNNNNNNNNNNNNNNNNNNNNNNNNNNNNNNNNNNNNNNNNNNNNNNNNNNNNNNNACUUAGCAGCUUAGCAGCAGCAGCUUCUCCAUCACCCAACCUGGGGCUCAGAGCUCCCUCUGAUGAAGAACACAGAUGCAGGGGCCAUGAGUUGGCCUGGUGCUUUACCUGGCUCCCUCAGCAAUGCAGGCGGCAACAGCCCGCAUUUUAUACAAGGCAACUAAGACUCCCCAGACUGACAUGCCAGCUUCCCUGGUGGCUCAGUGGUAAAGAAUCUGGGAGACAUAGGUUCGAUCCCUGGGUCGGGAACAUCCCCUGAAGAAGGAAAUGGCAACCCACUCCAGUAUUCUUGCC